rnacentral:rRNA from 1 species
UACGUAGGGGGCAAGCGUUGUCCGGAAUCAUUGGGCGUAAAGCGCGUGUAGGCGGCUCGGUAAGUCCGCUCUGAAAGUCCAGGGCUCAACCCUGGGAUGCGGGUGGAUACUGCCGGGCUCGAGUCCGGAAGAGGCGAGUGGAAUUCCCGGUGUAGCGGUGAAAUGCGCAGAUAUCAGGAGGAACACCGAUGGCGAAGGCAGGUCUCUGGGCCACUACUGACGCUGAGAAGCGAAAGCAUGGGGAGCGAACAGG